rnacentral:lncRNA from 1 species
AGCAACUAAAAAAUACAGGAGACCAAAAAUUGACCUGGGGAUACCUACAAGGGGAGAUCCACCAUUUUCACGAGAUCCAACCCCACCUAAUAUCUUUUUCUUCAGUAGACCUUAGAUGGGCCGAGACACAAAAUAAUAGACCAAGGGAGCAAAAAGUGGCGUCAUUGAUUUUCAGCAAACAAAAACGAUCCCCAUCCCAAGAAUGACCCCAUCGUUCAUUUUCAGUAGAUUGAAAAACCAGCUAAAAACCUUUGCCCCCAGCGAGCUUCUUCUACACAGACCCUAGAUGACCCUAAUCGAAAUAAGCUGCAGCCGCUAAUAGUCCAGACGACCACUGAACAUUUUGUUUCUUAUUCAACCAAAAUCAUGAACCCUCAUCCAUUCGAUGGAGUCCAAUUGAGGAUGGAUCGUAGUUCCGUUCGAGGCUUCCGGUGAAGUUUUUGGUUCUAUAGUUCAAGGACAUCAUCAGAAUAAAAUCUGAAGAAGUUCACGUUGGAGUUCCUUUUUGGUGCUGAAAUUCGAACUUGACUUGUAAUGGCUUUCAAAUUGAACUAAUUAAAGAAAUAUUGCUCAAUUAAAUCCUUUUUCCUUUCCAUCUCUAUUUCUAUGUUCGAAAUUCGAAGAAUCUGGAAACUAUUGGGGUCGUUUGGAGAAUAUUCAGUGGAUUCCAAGUUAAGUGAUGUUUGCUUAGUUAUUGAUGUGGGUGUGCAUACAUGUUUUAUACAAUAGAAUCCAAUUAAGUGCUUCAAUUUUGCUUCUGAAAAGGUUCGAUACUGAAGUUUUGUUCAUCAUUCAAU